AUACGUAGGGUGCGAGCGUUGUCCGGAAUUACUGGGCGUAAAGAGCUCGUUGGUGGUUUGUCGCGUCGUCUGUGAAAUUCCGGGGCUUAACUCCGGGCGUGCAGGCGAUACGGGCAUAACUUGAGUACUGUAGGGGAGACUGGAAUUCCUGGUGUAGCGGUGAAAUGCGCAGAUAUCAGGAGGAACACCGGUGGCGAAGGCGGGUCUCUGGGCAGUAACUGACGCUGAGGAGCGAAAGCAUGGGUAGCGAACAGGAUUAGAUACCCUGGUAGUCCAUGCCGUAAACGGUGGGCGCUAGGUGUAGGGGUCUUCCACGACUUCUGUGCCGUAGCUAACGCAUUAAGCGCCCCGCCUGGGGAGUACGGCCGCAAGGCUAAAACUUAAAGGAAUUGACGGGG
rnacentral:rRNA from 1 species